rnacentral:piRNA from 1 species
UCCAGGGUGACAUCGAGUGAUUAGGC